rnacentral:rRNA from 1 species
UACGUAGGGGGCAAGCGUUGUCCGGAUUUAUUGGGCGUAAAGAGCGUGUAGGCGGCCUGAAAGGUCAGCUGUGAAAACUCGAGGCUCAACCUCGAGACGUCGGUUGAAACCAUCUGGCUAGAGUCCGGAAGAGGAGUGUGGAAUUCCCGGUGUAGCGGUGAAAUGCGCAGAUAUCAGGAGGAACACCGGUGGCGAAGGCGGGUCUCUGGGCCGUUACUGACGCUGAGGAGCGAAAGCGUGGGGAGCGAACAGG